rnacentral:rRNA from 1 species
UAAUACAGAGGGUGCGAGCGUUGUCCGGAAUCACUGGGCGUAAAGGGCGCGUAGGUGGCUGUGUAAGUCGGGGGUGAAAUGCUGCGGCUCAACCGCAGCGCUGCCUCCGAGACUGCACGGCUUGAGCACGGUAGAGGCCGAUGGAAUUCCCGGUGUAGCGGUGGAAUGCGUAGAGAUCGGGAAGAACACCGAUGGCGAAGGCAGUCGGCUGGGCCGUUGCUGACACUGAGGCGCGACAGCGUGGGGAGCAAACAGGAUUAGAUACCCUGGUAGUCCACGCCGUAAACGAUGGGCACUAGGCGUCGGGGGGAGCGACCCUCCCGGUGCCGUCGCUAACGCACUAAGUGCCCCGCCUGGGGAGUACGGCCGCAAGGUU